rnacentral:rRNA from 1 species
CCUAACACAUGCAAGUCGAACGGAGUUCUUAAGGAAUGCGACUUCGGUCAAAUGACUUUGAACUUAGUGGCGGACGGGUGAGUAAUGUGUGAGCAACCUGCCUUUCAGAGGGGGAUAACACAGUGAAAACUGUGCUAAUACCGCAUGAUAUGUAAUGUUCGCAUGAACGAUACAUCAAAGGAGCAAUCCGCUGAAAGAUGGGCUCACAUCUGAUUAGCUAGUUGGUGGGGGCAACGGCCUACCAAGGCGACGAUCAGUAGCCGGUCUGAGAGGAUGAACGGCCACAUUGGAACUGAGACACGGUCCAGACUCCUACGGGAGGCAGCAGUGGGGAAUCUUCCGCAAUGGGCGAAAGCCUGACGGAGCAAUGCCGCGUGAGUGAUGAAGGAAUUCGUUCCGUAAAGCUCUUUUGUUUAUGACGAAUGUGCAGACUGUGAAUAAUGGUUUGUAAUGACGGUAGUAAACGAAUAAGCCACGGCUAACUACGUG